rnacentral:rRNA from 1 species
GGGCGUAAGAGCUCGUAGGCGGUUUGUCGCGUCUGCCGUGAAAGUCCGGGGCUUAACUCCGGAUCUGCGGUGGGUACGGGCAGACUAGAGUGCAGUAGGGGAGACUGGAAUUCCUGGUGUAGCGGUGAAAUGCGCAGAUAUCAGGAGGAACACCGAUGGCGAAGGCAGGUCUCUGGGCUGUAACUGACGCUGAGGAGCGAAAGCAUGGGGAGCGAACAGGAUUAGAUACCCUGGUAGUCCAUGCCGUAAACGUUGGGCACUAGGUGUGGGGGACAUUCCACGUUUUCCGCGCCGUAGCUAACGCAUUAAGUGCCCCGCCUGGGGAGUACGGCCGCAAGGCUAAAACUCAAAGGAAUUGACGGGGGCCCGCACAAGCGGCGGAGCAUGCGGAUUAAUUCGAUGCAACGCGAAGAACCUUACCAAGGCUUGACAUGAACCGGAAUGAUGCAGAGAUGUGUCAGCCACUUGUGGCCGGUUUACAGGUGGUGCAUGGUUGUCGUCAGCUCGUGUCGUGAGAUGUUGGGUUAAGUCCCGCAACGAGCGCAACCCUCGUUCCAUGUUGCCAGCGGGUUAUGCCGGGGACUCAUGGGAGACUGCCGGGGUCAACUCGGAGGAAGGUGGGGACGACGUCAAAUCAUCAUGCCCCUUAUGUCUUGGGCUUCACGCAUGCUACAAUGGCCGGUACAAAGGGUUGCGAUACUGUGAGGUGGAGCUAAUCCCAAAAAGCCGGUCUCAGUUCGGAUUGAGGUCUGCAACUCGACCUCAUGAAGUUGGAGUCGCUAGUAAUCGCAGAUCANCAACGCUGCGGUGAAUACGUUCCCGGGCCUUGUACACACCGCCCGUCAAGUCACGAAAGUUGGUAACACCCGAAGCC